GAGUGCUUGCACUCUGUGAAACAAGAUACAGGCUAGCGGCGGACGGGUGAGUAACACGUGGGUAACCUGCCCAAGAGAUCGGGAUAACACCUGGAAACAGAUGCUAAUACCGGAUAACAACAGAUGAUGCCUAUCAACUGUUUAAAAGAUGGUUCUGCUAUCACUCUUGGAUGGACCUGCGGUGCAUUAGCUAGUUGGUAGGGUAACGGCCUACCAAGGCGAUGAUGCAUAGCCGAGUUGAGAGACUGAUCGGCCACAUUGGGACUGAGACACGGCCCAAACUCCUACGGGAGGCAGCAGUAGGGAAUCUUCCACAAUGGACGCAAGUCUGAUGGAGCAACGCCGCGUGAGUGAAGAAGGGCUUCGGCUCGUAAAGCUCUGUUGUUGGUGAAGAAGGACAGGGGUAGUAACUGACCUUUGUUUGACGGUAAUCAAUUAGAAAGUCACGGCUAACUACGUGCCAGCAGCCGCGGUAAUACGUAGGUGGCAAGCGUUGUCCGGAUUUAUUGGGCGUAAAGCGAGUGCAGGCGGCUCGAUAAGUCUGAUGUGAAAGCCUUCGGCUCAACCGGAGAAUUGCAUCAGAAACUGCCGAGCUUGAGUACAGAAGAGGAGAGUGGAACUCCAUGUGUAGCGGUGAAAUGCGUAGAUAUAUGGAAGAACACCGGUGGCGAAGGCGGCUCUCUGGUC
rnacentral:rRNA from 1 species